rnacentral:rRNA from 1 species
UUCCUACGGGAGGCAGCAGUGGGGAAUCUUGCACAAUGGGGGAAACCCUGAUGCAGCGACGCCGCGUGAGCGAUGAAGCCCUUCGGGGUGUAAAGCUCUUUCGGCAGGGAAGAUGAUGACGGUACCUGCAGAAGCAGCUGCGGCUAACUACGUGCCAGCAGCCGCGGUAAUACGUAGGCAGCAAGCGUUGUUCGGAGUUACUGGGCGUAAAGGGUGUGUAGGCGGUUGCUUAAGUUUGGUGUGAAAUCUCCCGGCUCAACUGGGAGGGUGCGCCGAAUACUGAGUGACUAGAGUGCGGGAGAGGAAAGUGGAAUUCCUGGUGUAGCGGUGAAAUGCGUAGAUAUCAGGAGGAACACCGGUGGUGUAGACGGCUUUCUGGACCGUAACUGACGCUGAGACACGAAAGCGUGGGUAGCAAACAGGAUUAGAUACCCUGGUAGUCCACGCCCUAAACGAUGCAUAUUUGGUGUGGGUCAUUCAGUUGAUCCGUGCCGGAGCUAACGCGUUAAAUAUGCCGCCUGGGGAGUACAGUCGCAAGGCUGAAGCUCAAAGGAAUUGACGGGGGCCCGCACAAGCGGUGGAGCAUGUGGUUCAAUUCGACGCAACGCGAAGAACCUUACCUGGGCUCGAACGGCUGGUCAACGGCGGUGGAAACAUCGCUACCCCGCAAGGGGGUCCAGUCGAGGUGCUGCAUGGCUGUCGUCAGCUCGUGUCGUGAGAUGUUGGGUUAAGUCCCGCAACGAGCGCAACCCUUGUCCUGUGUUGCCAUGCCGAAAGGCGGAACUCGCAGGAGACCGCCAGCGAUAAGCUGGAGGAAGGUGGGGAUGACGUCAAGUCCUCAUGGCCUUUAUGUCCAGGGCUACACACGUGCUACAAUGGACGGUACAAAGCGCUGCUAACCCGCGAGGGGGAGCCAAUCGCAAAAAACCGUUCUCAGUUCGGAUUGCAGGCUGCAACUCGCCUGCAUGAAGCUGGAAUCGCUAGUAAUGGCAGAUCAGCACGCUGCCGUGAAUACGUUCCCGGGCCUUGUACACACCGCCAA